AACGCACAUUGCGCCCUCUGGUAUUCCGGGGGGCAUGCCUGUUCGAGCGUCAUUACAACCCUCAAGCUCUGCUUGGUAUUAGAUCAUACCUGCUACAGGUAGAUUGCAAAAUAAGUGGCUGUGCCUCUCGGCUUCAAGCGUAGUAAUUCUUCUCGCUUUGGGGUACCGAGUGCGUGCUUGCCAGAAGAUACAUUUUUUCAGGUUGACCUCGGAUCAGGUAGGGAUACCCGCUGAACUUAA
rnacentral:misc_RNA from 1 species